rnacentral:rRNA from 1 species
AGAGUUUGAUCCUGGCUCAGAACGAACGCUGGCGGCAGCCUAAACACGCAAGUCGAACGCUCUAGCAAUAGAGAGUGGCGCACGGGUGCGUAGCAUGUGGGAAUAUGCCUUUUGGUACGGAACAACUUUUGGAAACGAAAGCUAAUACCGUAUGGUCCCUUCGGGGUAAAGAUUUAUCGCCAAAAGAGUAGCCCGCACUGGAUUAGCUAGUUGGUAAGGUAAUGGCUUACCAAGGCGACGAUCCAUAGCUGGUCUGAGAGGACGAUCAGCCACACUGGGACUGAGACACGGCCCAGACUCCUACGGGAGGCAGCAGUUAGGAAUCUUGGACAAUGGGCGCAAGCCUGAUCCAGCCAUGCCGCGUGAGUGAUGAAGGCCUUCGGGUUGUAAAGCUCUUUAGCCGACGAAUAUAAUGACUGUAGUCGGAGAAUAAGCCCCGGCUAACUUCGUGCCAGCAGCCGCGGUAAUACGAAGGGGGCGAGCGUUGUUCGGAAUCACUGGGCGUAAAGAGUGCGUAGGCGGUUGUAAAAGUUAGAAGUGAAAGCCCAGGGCUCAACCUUGGAAUUGCUUUUAAAACUAGAUAACUCGAAUUUGGGAGAGGAUAGCGGAAUUGUCAGUGUAGCAGUGAAAUGCGUAGAUAUUGACAGGAACACCGGUGGCGUAAGCGGCUAUCUGGACCAACAUUGACGCUGAGGCACGAAAGCGUGGGGAUCAAACAGGAUUAGAUACCCUAGUAGUCC